GAAAGUCUGCAGUCACUGCCUGGGAGAAGGGAGGAAUGUUUGGAAGUUGCAGAGACAGCCCAAGGAAGCUUUUCUUCGGGCAAGGAGCUGACACCUAAACUCUCAAUCAGCUGGACAGAAGAAGGAUCCCCAGAAGCCUGGCUUGUGAUCACUCAAAACCAUCUCAGACUUUGUACAAGGCCUAAGUCUCCAAGAAUGCCUGUAGUGACUGAUGGAGUGCCUCAACCCCCUUUCCUUCCCUGUAAGAUCUGGCUGCAAAAACUGAACUGAGGCCUGCACAAAUACUUGUAGUGAGCGAGAAGAGCAAGGCCAGAGGGUGGAGAAUCUAAAAAGCUGGAAUAGGAAACAUUGGUUUGGUUGCUGGAAGGAGAAGAUCACUUCCUGAGAAGAACUGAUGAGCUGCCAGAGACUGUCAUAAUGAAACAUGCCGAUGCCUCAUAGGGGAUCAUAGUGAGGAUUUAUUUUUCAACAGGACUUUGAAAGAAUUUUGAAUAGACUGAUACAAAACAGAUUAUUAUUGCCCUGUUUUUUGCUUGUUUGUUUUUUGCUAAUCUUGAGUUAUUUAUAAGAAAUUCCUUUCAACUGUGAUAUCUUUUUUAAUGUAAAAUGUAAUAGAUUAUUCUAUUCUAAACCAGCAUUGUAUUUAUGAACAUUUUCAGUCUUUGAUUGGCAGCAUACAGGCUGAGAUAAUAUACAAAACUGUAAUUUUGCCACCAACUACCAAUAAGAUAUUAAAAACACUUGGUCAGGUACCACAA